AGGAUGAACGCUGGCGGCGUGCCUAACACAUGCAAGUCGAGCGGAGCUAACCAUUGGAAAUUUUCGAAUGGAAGAUGGAAAGCUUAGCGGCGGACGGGUGAGUAACGCGUGGGCAACCAACCUUGAUCAGGGGGACAACAUUGGGAAACCAGUGCUAAUACCGCAUAGCUCUGACGGAUGGCAUCAUCUGUCAGAGAAAGAUUUAUCGGAUCAAGACGGGCCCGCGUCUGAUUAGCUAGUUGGUGAGGUAACGGCUCACCAAGGCGAUGAUCAGUAGCCGACCUGAGAGGGUGACCGGCCACACUGGAACUGAGACACGGUCCAGACUCCUACGGGAGGCAGCAGUGGGGAAUAUUGCACAAUGGGGGAAACCCUGAUGCAGCAACGCCGCGUGAGCGAAGAAGGCCUUCGGGUCGUAAAGCUCUGUCCUAUGGGAAGAAGCAGUGACGGUACCAUAGGAGGAAGCCCCGGCUAACUACGUGCCAGCCGCCGCGGU
rnacentral:rRNA from 1 species